AACAUAACCUUUAGCCUAAACCAAUAUUAAAGGCAAAGCCUGCCCAGUGAGACCCCCCCCUUAAACGGCCGCGGUACCCUAACCGUGCAAAGGUAGCGUAAUCAUUUGUCUAUUAAUUGUAGACUAGUAUGAAAGGCUACAUGAGAAUCAAACUGUCUCUUGUAAUAAAUCAAUAAAACUGAUCUCCCAGUACAAAAGCUGGAAUACCCAUAUAAGACCAGAAGACCCUGUGAAGCUUAAACUAAAUCAUUAAAACAAAUAAUGACUACUUUCAGUUGGGGCGACUUUGGAAAAAAACAAAACUUCCAAACACCAUGAGCAAUCCCUCAUACAAUGUAGGCCAACAAGCCUUAAUACGACCCAGUCUAACUGACAAUUGAACCAAGUUACUCCAGGGAUAACAGCGCUAUCUUCUUCAAGAGCCCAUAUCAAAAAGAAGGUUUACGACCUCGAUGUUGGAUCAGGACACCCAAAUGGUGUAGCCGCUAUUAAAGGUUCGUUUGUUCAACGAUUAACAGUCCUACGUGAU
rnacentral:rRNA from 1 species